rnacentral:lncRNA from 1 species
CGGACACCCGCUGGAAAUAAGGAAUGGAUUUACAAUCGCUAUUAACGUAUUCAUGACAGAUUUUAGCAAUGAACAAUGACCAUAGUUGACAGAUCUUCAGAAAAGUCUGACUACGAGUCAGUCGGGUGUAAGCGAACUCCCUUUACCAGUGGAGACGCGGGGAUGGACGGCAGCUGUUCCAGCAGCUGGGCAAUGGGCAAUCCCACGAUGCCCAGCGACUCUCCGAGGCUGAAGGCUGCAGGAGGCUGCCUGGGCCCCACGCCUGGAGCUGCAGUCUACAACAGUACACCCUCCUCUGCGGACCGGCCCAAGGAGCAAGAUCGUUUAUAGAUCUCGACAUUUCUGAGGCAGGCAGCUUCAUUUCACGGAGAGAGAGAGAGAGAGAGAGAGAGAAAAGAGACGGAUCGACUGUGCUUUGUGCUGGAGCUUGUUGCAGGAAACAGUCAGCUGUUACACAAACUCCUGGGCAGUUAAGUGCUUGUGUUUUGUUUUUUAACCUUAUCAUUUUUUAUUUACUAUACGGGACUCUUACACCACCUCAAAACAGAC